CUUCUUCGAGCUCACCGCUGCUCCGUUCACACGAGCCGCACCCAGACACGUGCGAGGAGGAAGCGUGGUUGCUGUUGGCGAGGACCAGCCGCACGUCUGGUAGUUCAGCCCCGUAGAUGCCAUGAGCUACAGAAAAUGUGAAUAUUGCAAGAGUGAAGAAAACAUCAAUUUUGGGCUUUGAAGUGGAGAUUUGGAGUUAGGAAGAAUGACGGUUAAAUGUGGAGCAAAAUGUUAAAUUCUAAAUUCCGACGAACCACCACAAAUAGCGACACAUCACCACUCACGGUGGUGCCAUGUAUUUUCCGGUCAUAUUCAUGGAGGAGCAAGGAGGAUGAGUAUCAUAGCAUCUAUUCUAUUACAUCCAUUCACCAUCAUUCUAUCCUAACUAAAUUCUAAACAUUUUGGUUCCAAUUCAACCAAACACUCAAUAUUACCCAAAAGUCCACAAUCAUCAUCACUUCAAUAUCUAUCAUGCUUUAGGCUUAAUCACUAUCUCUCACUCAUCAUUUUCUACUCUAACCUACACAAUCACUACCAUACUCUUUUCCCUUGAUUUUGGGAUAUAUUAUCACUCUCAUACUCCACCUUCAUGCUUCUUACAAGGCUAUGACUGUUUUCUUUGCCUUCUAAUCACCAUUUCACACAUCUCUCCAUCUAUUUAAGCACCUCUUCUCACAAAGAAGAAAAAAUCACCCAUACCACACCCAUUACAUCUUUUCUUUCUCCAUCUCCACCACAAAACCUCUAUUUUCACCUCCCAAAAUACAAACCCAUAAUAUCCAUACUCCUCAACCUCCAUCUUCCCCACCACUACAACUACUAUCUUCCCCACCACUACUACUCUAUUAUUACCACUCAAAGUUAGUCAAAGGAACAUCAUAUCUUCAUCACCAUUUCAUUCAUUAUCAACAAGAAGUUCAUCAUCUAUCCAUCUAUUCUACCAUCAAGGAGGACUCAAGGAGCAUUAAAGGAGGAAAACGAAGGAGAAGCUACCCAUUGAUUUGUCAAGCUUCAACUAGUUCAUUCUUUCCUUAACUAUUUAAUUUACCUUGAUAUACUUUAUAGAUUUGAUGCUAAUUUGUAUGAUUAUGAGUGAGUAAUUACUUUGUUGGGGCUAGGGUUGAAAGCUCUAGCCAAACUUGUAUGAAUUGAUGUUUUAGUUUACAUUUGAAGUUAUUUGUGAUUUUCAUCUUCA